AUGCAUGUUUAAGCAGAAGCCGCACAAUGGUAAAGCCGCGAAUGGCUCAUUACAACAGCCGUCGUUUCUUGGAUCUCUAAUUUUACUUGGAUAACUGUGGUAAUUCUAGAGCUAAUACACGCACUAAAGCUCUGACCUUAUGGGACGAGCGCAUUUAUUAGAACAAAACCAAUCGGGUUUCGGCCCGUUCGUUGGUGACUCUGAAUAACUCUGCCGAUCGCACGGUCUCGCACUGGCGACGUAUCUUUCAAGUGUCUGCCUUAUCAACUUUCGAUGGUAGUUUAUGUGCCUACCAUGGUUGUAACGGGUAACGGAGAAUAAGGGUUCGACUCCGGAGAGGGAGCCUGAGAAACGGCUACCACAUCCAAGGAAGGCAGCAGGCGCGCAAAUUACCCACUCUCGGCACGAGGAGGUAGUGACGAAAAAUAACGAGACGGAUCUCUUUGAGGCCCGUUAUCGGAAUGAGAACAAUUCAAAUCCUUUAACGAGGAUCUAGCGGAGGGCAAGUCUGGUGCCAGCAGCCGCGGUAAUUCCAGCUCCGCAGGUGUAUAUCUAUGCUGCUGCGGUUAAAAAGCUCGUAGUUGGAUCUGCGUGCUCGGAACUGGUUGGCUCACUGAGUUCAAACUGGUCUCCGGCGCUUUAUUUGCUGGUUUUCCCUUGAUGCUCUUAACCGGGUGUCUCGGGUGGCUAGCGUGUUUACUUUGAAAAAAUUAGAGUGCUCAAUACAGGCGCAAAGCCUUGAAUAGUGGUGCAUGGAAUAAUAGAAUAGGACCUCGGCUCUAUUUUGUUGGUUUUCGGAACGCGAGGUAAUGAUUAAGAGGGACAGACGGGGGCAUUCGUAUUGCGACGUUAGAGGUGNAAUUCUUGGAUCGUCGCAAGACGGACGACUGCGAAAGCAUUUGCCAAGAAUGUUUUCAUUAAUCAAGAACGAAAGUUAGA
rnacentral:rRNA from 1 species